GAUGAACGCUGGCGGCGUGCCUAAUACAUGCAAGUCGAGCGAACAGACGAGGAGCUUGCUCCUUCGACGUUAGCGGCGGACGGGUGAGUAACACGUGGGUAACCUACCUAUAAGACUGGGAUAACUUCGGGAAACCGGAGCUAAUACCGGAUAAUAUUUCGAACCGCAUGGUUCGAUAGUGAAAGAUGGCUUUGCUAUCACUUAUAGAUGGACCUGCGCCGUAUUAGCUAGUUGGUAAGGUAACGGCUUACCAAGGCAACGAUACGUAGCCGACCUGAGAGGGUGAUCGGCCACACUGGAACUGAGACACGGUCCAGACUCCUACGGGAGGCAGCAGUAGGGAAUCUUCCGCAAUGGGCGAAAGCCUGACGGAGCAACGCCGCGUGAGUGAUGAAGGUCUUCGGAUCGUAAAACUCUGUUAUUAGGGAAGAACAAACGUGUAAGUAACUGUGCACGUCUUGACGGUACCUAAUCAGAAAGCCACGGCUAACUACGUG
rnacentral:rRNA from 1 species